CAUUUGCUGAUUUCAUUUUCAAAUCGACAAAAUGCGAUAGUUGGUUUUGCUUUUAACAUUUGGCGUUAGAUGGCUUCAAAUGUUAUUCAGUUUCCAAGGACAAACAAACAUUCGGAAUCUUUGUCACUUUCGUUCGCAAUCACACGUCAACGUUCUUCACUCUAUCGUUAACUUAUUCGUUAAGUGUUUGAUGGAUACACAAGCACUCAGUCUUUUACUGAUACUAGUGUUUAGUGUCUUUUCCAGUUACCUUAGUACAAACUUGGUAGAUUUUGCUUUUGUUGAACCGCUGAUUUGUAAAAUGUCGUACACUAACGGCACCUCAAAUUAGAGGUGGAUGUGAGCAAAUCGGUCCAGAAGCACCGCUUCUCCAUACUGGCCCAUCUUCGGACGGUUCUCAAAGAUCGAGGUUGAUCCAUUAUAUCCUUGGUUCCAUUACUGCUGUUACAAGCGGUUACAAUUGCUGUUAUUGUAGAUAACCUAAUUCUACUGAUGAAUAUCCUUUAUUUCAUUCCAGAUGAUUUUGUAUUGAAAUCAAGAAGUCACCUUCAUAGUUUUUAAAUUUAUCAUCCACUCCAAUUCAUAAACUUAUUUUUUCUCUGCAUAUGUGCAUACUUAUACAGGCAAUAUAACACGGGGAUGA